CAAUAGCGUAUAUUAAAGUUGUUGCAGUUAAAAAGCUCGUAGUUGGAUUUCGGGACGGGCCAGUUGGUCCGCCGCAAGGUGUGUUACUGACUGGUCUGUUCUUCUUCGCAAAGACUGCGUGUGCUCUUCGUUGAGUGUGCGUAGGAUUUACGACGUUUACCUUGAAAAAAUUAGAGUGUUCAAAGCAGGCUAUCGCUUGAAUACAUGAGCAUGGAAUAAUGGAAUAGGACUUUGGUCCUAUUUUGUUGGUUUCUAGGACCGAAGUAAUGAUUAAGAGGGACAAUUGGGGGCAUCCGUAUUUCGUUGUCAGAGGUGAAAUUCUUGGAUUUACGAAAGACGAACAACUGCGAAAGCACUUGCCAAGAGUGUUUUCAUUAA
rnacentral:rRNA from 1 species